AUACCUUUCUCGGCCUUUUGGCUAAGAUCAAGUGUAGUAUCUGUUCUUAUCAGUUUAAUAUCUGAUACGUGGGCUAAUGGCUCACAUGAUAUUAAAUUAAUUUCUUUAGGAGGAGAGUUUACCGUAAUAGCUUGCUAUUGGGGCUCUCAAGUGUCGCCCAAGCGUUGCAAUAUUGCAUGGGCCUGGCGCACUCCAC